rnacentral:rRNA from 1 species
CUUUAUUGGAGAGUUUGAUCCUGGCUCAGGAUGAACGCUGGCGGCGUGCCUAAUACAUGCAAGUCGAGCGAAUGGAUUGAGAGCUUGCUCUCAAGAAGUUAGCGGCGGACGGGUGAGUAACACGUGGGUAACCUGCCCAUAAGACUGGGAUAACUCCGGGAAACCGGGGCUAAUACCGGAUAACAUUUUGAACUGCAUGGUUCGAAAUUGAAAGGCGGCUUCGGCUGUCACUUAUGGAUGGACCCGCGUCGCAUUAGCUAGUUGGUG